GAAAGGGGGCAACCCCCGGUAGCGUGGCAGACGGGUGAGUAACACGUGGGUAACCUACCCGGAGGUGGGGGAUAACCCUUCGAAAGGAGGGCUAAUACCGCAUGACAUCGCGUGGACCUCGGUCCUUGCGAUCAAAGCUGGCCUCUGUUUACAAGCUAGCGCCACCAGAGGGGCCCGCGCCCCAUUAGCUAGUUGGUGAGGUAACGGCUCACCAAGGCGACGAUGGGUAGCCGGCCUGAGAGGGCGACCGGCCACACUGGAACUGAGACACGGUCCAGACUCCUACGGGAGGCAGCAGUGAGGAAUCUUGCGCAAUGGGCGAAAGCCUGACGCAGCGACGCCGCGUGGAGGAUGAAGGUCUUCGGAUUGUAAACUCCUGUCGAGUGGGACGAAUGCCGCGAGGAUGAAUACUCCUCGCGGUUGACGGUACCGCUGGAGGAAGCCCCGGCUAACUCCGUGCCAGCAGCCGCGGUAAUACGGAGGGGGCCAGCGUUGUUCGGAAUCAUUGGGCGUAAAGGGCGCGUAGGCGGCCGAUCAAGUCGGAGGUGAAAUCCCUCGGCUCAACUGAGGAACUGCCUCCGAUACUGUUCGGCUUGAGUCCUGGAGAGGGUAGUGGAAUU
rnacentral:rRNA from 1 species